CACGUACACUCAGCUUUAAGCUUUUAGAAGGCAACAGCGGCGGUUACAACAUGACAGCUCCCGGGGGACCUUCGGUGUAACUGCAGAGAGCUCCUCAUGACUACAGAUUACCUCCUGCAGCAUCCCUUUUCAGAUUUAAAAAUAAGGCUUUUUUUCUGGAAACCCAAAUUGAAGGAAAACUUGGGGUUGAUGAAAUUAAACAGUCGCCCAUCUACCAUUUGUCUUCAUUGAUGCACAAAUCUCUAACUCUUCCAGCUUGGAGGGCUGAACUCUGGUAGCUUCCAGGUGUGGAUGUGGACUCAGAUGAACGCGAUCAGAUUUAAUGGAUGAGCAAUCACACUCAGUCAACUUUCAUGACUUUCAGCAGAAUUCUGUUUUCCCCUCUUAUAUAAUGUUGGCUGUUAUAUUCAUUCCAGUUGUUUCAAGUAAUGCAAAUAUGAGCUGAAGU
ensembl:lncRNA